CCGGAUGCCCUAGCAGGGUCCGCACCGGAUAAAGCGGCCCCGCCCCACCGCCCA
rnacentral:ncRNA from 1 species